GGGCCUGUAGCUCAGCGGGUUAGAGCGCACGCCUGAUAAGCGUGAGGUCGGUGGUUCGAGUCCACUCAGGCCCACCA
rnacentral:tRNA from 1 species